rnacentral:rRNA from 1 species
CCCGCUGAACUUAAGCAUAUCAAUAAGGCGAGGAACAGAAACCAACUGGGAUUCCCUCAGUAGUGGCGAAUGAAGCGGGAAAAGCUCAAGUUUGAAAUCCGGCGGCCUCGGCAUCCGGAGUUGUAAGCUGAAGAGGCGUCGACCGACGUGGGCCGGGCUCCAAUUCCCUUGGAACAGGGGGUCAUAGAGGGUGAGAACCCCGUCUGUGGCUCGGACCCCAUCGUCUUCAGUGUCGUGCCCUCGUAGAGUCGGGUUGUUUGGGAAUGCAGCUCAAAAUGGGUGGUAAAUCUCAUCUAAAGCUAAAUAUUGGCGAGAGACCGAUAGCGAACAAGUAGAGUGAUCGAAAGAUGAAAAGUACUUUGAAAAGAGAGUGAAACAGUACGUGAAAUUGUUGAAAGGGAAGCGUUUGGCAUCAGCCCAUGGCCCCCGACGAUCACCUUGACCCUAGGUCGAGUGCACUCGUCGGUGGUUGGGCCAGCGUCGGCUCCGUCCGCCGGAGAAAGGCUCGGGGGAUGUGGCUCCUUCACGGGAGCGUUAUAAACCCGGGCGUCAUACGGUGUGAUGGGGCCGAGGUCUGCGGUCUCGUACCUAGGACGCUGGCGUAAUGGUUCCAAGCGACCCGUCUUGAAACACGG